AACUGAAGUCUCAACAAGCUUAGAAAUUUUAGAGCUCUAAUAAGUGAUUUGGACUCUUUUCUGCAUAGUAACGGUGCCAAUUUUUUUCUUUUCUGCAGCGAUUGAGAUGCUUUUUAUAUAGAGCGGAAAUGGUUGCCCUUCAAAUCAUGAGCUGGAAAAGAUUUGUAGAAUCAAUCCGUUAACAAUACAAUCUCUCAUAGAUUUCGUGGGGACCAAUUUGUUUUGGAGUCGAAUCGUGGAAAUGGCGGAGAACUCGUUUGAUAUGGGAAUGCAAACAUAUCCUUCAAAGACUCGUGUGGUCCCCCUAUUUAAUUUUGAAAUCCGUACCUUGGUUUAAUCUUGGUAUGUGGCUACCGCAGGUCUCCCUACUGCGGAUGCAUCGCUUGUUCGUUGGCUAAUUCUUCCCGUUGCAGGUCGGGUUCUACACUUAGGCCUGCUAAUUCCAUGGUCACGUCGAACAUGUUGUCUCAACGAAGGUUUCCUCAUCCAUUGGCUUGUAUUUCAAGGUCCUGAAGCGGGUUUGUGGCAUGUCUGCUUAAGGAUGUGUGUAUUGAAUUUGUAGCAGGUCUGUUAUAAGGAAAUGGCGGGAUUCCAAAUAAUGUCCUUCACGCUGCUCGUUCGUAGCAGGUACAGACUAUUUGCAGCUUGCUCUAAUUGGUAUUCCUCUUAUGGUUCGACAUGGUUUGCGCAUUACGUCCUCAAAGCGAUUGGCAAGGAUGCAUUUACUCUGGUCAAUAUAGUUGGGUCAUGUUAUGUUAUACGUGUUUGGAUUUGGCUUGCAGCAGGUUCUACACUUAUAGCAGGCGGCGACAACAGGAACGAAACAUGUAUUCAUUUGCAUUUCCCUGGCGCACACGGACUCUUGUUCAUACUGACGGCACGGCGCUGUUGGCUCUUGGAUUUGCAGGUCACAGUAUGAUGCUAGAGGAUACCCUGCGGUUCCUAAACGGUCUGUGGAAGCAAAAUGCAAGGAGGGGCGUGGGCGACUGUCAUGACAGGAUGAUGUGUAUUUUUUGGUUUUAGAAAAUUAUUUCUUUCAUUUGGCUUGGCUGUACUAUUAUUCAGAACCUAGGAUCACUUGUAACCGACGGCAUGAUGUAUUCUCAUGGAUGAUAUUUGAAACAAAUAUGUUUGUUACCCCAGAA